rnacentral:rRNA from 1 species
GUCUAUAGCCAUAACACCCUGAACGCGCCCAAUCUCAUCUGAUCUUGGAAGCUAAACAGGAUCAAGCCUGGUUAGUACUUGGAUGGAAGACAGAUCUUCAGAAGAGACU